ensembl:snRNA U1 U1 spliceosomal RNA
AUACUUAUCUGGCAGGGGAGAUACCACGAUCACGAAGGUGGUUUCCCAGGGUGAGGCUUAUCCAUUGCACUCCAGCUGUGCUGACCUCUGUGAUUCCCCAAAUGUGGGAGACUUGACUGCAUAAUUUGUGGUAAUGGGGGACUGCUUUUGCACUCUCCCCUG